rnacentral:rRNA from 1 species
CAGCAGCCGCGGGAAUACGAAGGGGGCUGGCGUUGUUCGGAUUUACUGGGCGUAAAGGGCGCGUAGGCGGGCUUCUCAGUCAGGGGUGAAAUCCCAAGGCUCAACCUUGGAACUGCCUUUGAUACUGGAAGUCUUGAGUCCGGGAGAGGUGAGUGGAACUGCGAGUGUAGAGGUGAAAUUCGUAGAUAUUCGCAAGAACACCAGUGGCGAAGGCGGCUCGCUGGACGACUGUUGACGCUGAGGUGCGAAAGCGUGGGGAGCAAACAGGAUUAGAUACCCCAGUAGUCCCUGUCUCUUAUAA